ensembl:lincRNA
CGGGAUGCUUUGCUGUUGUUGCUCGCGUGUGAAGUUGUGCCUGUGGUACUUUUGGGUCUGUGCGUCAGUCAUCUUCAGGUCUUUCUUAUCUUUUUGUCACCUCCUUUUCCUUAAAGCACAGAUGGUAGGAUUCAAAAGAGCUUAUCCGGGCCUUGGAGAAGCUGAACCAUUCCUUUCGGUGGAGAAAACUCCCCGGUUCUGAUGAUUUCUUCUGCGUGGAUGACUUCCAAUUCCAUCCUGUCCUCUGAUGUUGCUCCUGAGUCCUCAUCCUGCAGACAGCUCCAUUGGUGUGUGGGUCCCUACCAGCCCCUGAAUCUCCUGCCCACACACCUACCAGGUAAAAUUACUGGCCAUUUUGAGUUAGCUGGGAAAGUGAGGACAACUGAAAGAGCCGCCAAAGAAAACUUCAGGGAGAAAUGAAGGAGGAAAUAUUGAUAGACUGGGGCACGUCAUCAAAAUCACAGACCCUGAAGAUGGGAAAAGACUUUAGAAGCCCAAUGGCCUGUGUCCCGAAAGACUACUGCAACAGUCCCCAUCAGGGUUAGCAGAUCUGUGCACCCGGUCCUCUGCCCUCCUUGGUACUGAAGUGCUUGACACCGUUGACUGCGUUGUCCUCGGAACACAAUCUGACCUAGGGCUCCUUAUCACCAAACUCAGAGAUACUUUUCCAUUUGUUUGUCUCACAGGCUCUUCUUCACAAGUCUGUAAACACUGCAGUUUCCCAGAGCUGAUUCUCUGCUAUCUUCUCUCUUGAACUGAUUUUUACCAGAUCCCAGUGACUCUCUCAGAUACGCUUCCAGCCUAGAAUUUUUCCUUAAGUCUGGCUCAUAUGUUCCUUUUUCUCCUGACAUCUCUUCUUAGGUGUUUGACGGUCAUCUCAAAUUUCAUGUGGCCCCAAACUGAGUGAUUUCCUCCCCGCACCGCCCCAGCCCACAUCCCUUAGGUCUUCGCCAUGGUGGUCCAUAAUCCCAUUGUUUGUUACUGUUUACUGUUAAUUCCCACACUAAGGAUUCAUCUGUCCUUCCCCUCUUUUUCUCGCACUCACAUUAAACCUGUGUCAGCAUCUCCCAUCAAUGCCACCUCUUAAAUAUUAAUGUAUCCUGGGUCACAUCACUUUCCAUCAGCUCCAAGCUCUGGCUCAACCUGCCCGCGGGUCUCAGUCGAUCCUGUCCACCCUGCCCGCCUGCAGUCCGUCCUUUCACGGCAUCGAGUGAUUGUGCGCACGUCAGACCCAGCCAUUUCCUGGUCAGACCCUCCAGUAGCUUCUCCGUUAUUCCAGGAAUAAAACUGAAACUCUUUCACACUGUCCACAGGUCUACAGAGUCCAGUGUGUGGCUCCCUGUCUGGCCUUAUCAUCCUGUUUUCUCUCUCAUUCCUGCCUGUUAGGCGAUUUUGGCCUUUUUCCCUCACCCCUUGAAAAGACAUUAAGCUCAUGCCCAUUUCAAGGCCUGCUAUUUCUUCCUGACUGCUCUUCCCCAGAUCCUCAUACUGCUGCCAACUUCUCAUGGUGCAUUUCACAAAUAAGGCUCCUCUUUAUCAUACUAUCCUAUUUUUCUUCCUCACGUGCUUAUAGGUAUCAUAAAAUAUCUUAUUUGUUUACACGCUUAUAGUCCAUCUCUCCCUUACAAGAAUGGAGGCUCCUGGAUAGCCCCUGUCUGUUUUCUCACUGCUCGGCGAAUAGUAGGUGUUUAAUAAAUACAUAUGCAUUGCCUAGCCAACAUUCUAUAACACAGUGAGAUACAGCCACAUUCUGACUACAGGCCUGGCUGGCUAAAGGGGAGUAGCACAAGGAAUAUUCAGAAAAAGUUUAUUCAUUUGUGGGUGUAGACAGGGAAACAAUUUGUCUGAACCUUAGUUAUCCUUUAAGAAAAUUUGCCUUUGAUGUUUGAGGGCAAGAGUCAGCUCCUAAAUAGGACUGUCACAUUGAACAGAGUCUUGAAGCUUCUGUAUAUUAUGCCCUAAGAGCUGUCUUUUCAUUAUUUCCAAUUGGUAUAGCUAAAAGAGUAAAUUAGUCCUUGCUACUGGUACAGAUGCUAAGUCGUCGCUUCAGUCGUGUCCAACUCUGUGCGACCCCAUAGACAGCAGCCCACCAGGCUCCUCCGUCCCUGGGAUUCUCCAGGCAAGAACACUGGAGUGGGUUGCCAUGUCCUUCUCCAAAGCAUGAAAGUGAAGUCACUCAGUCGUGUCCGACUCUUAGCUACCCCUUGGACUGCAGCCUACCAGGCUCCUCCACCCAUGGGAUUCUCCAGGCAAGGGUACUGGAGUGGGUCGCCAUUGCCU